AAAAUUAAAAAUUAUUUUUAUAAAUUUGUUUUGCUUAUUUUUUAAAAUAAAAAUAUUUUUAUAAAUUAAUGGUUUUUGUAUUUUUAAAGAUAAAAUUUUAUUAAUAAAAUUUUAUUAGUAUUGAAAAAGAUUUUUGAAAAAUUAGAUUUUAUUUUUUUUUAAGUAGAUUUAAUUUAUUGUACCUUGUGUAUCAGGGUUUUUUAAAAAAAAAAUAUUAAUAGUUUAUUUUUUCUCGAAUUUAAAAGAUCUAUUUUAUUAUAAUUUUUAUUGUUGAAAAAAUAUUUUGAAUAUUAAAAUAGAAAUGAGAUGUUAUUCGUUUUUAAAUAUAUCUAGUUUUUUAAUAAAUGAAUUUAAUUCAGAUAUUAUUUUAAUAAAAUAAUUUUAUUAAUAAAUAAAUUUUUAAUAGUAUUAAUAUUUUAGGGGAUAAGCUUUAAAAUAAAAUUUUUAUAAUAAAAAUAAUAAAUAAAAUUUGUAUAGGCUUAGAAAUAGUUUUUAUUUUAAAAAUGUUAUAAUUUGUUUUUUUUAAAAAUUAAAAUUUAAUAUUUUAUUUAAAAAUUUAUUAAAAUAAUUUAUUUAAUAAUUAAUAUUAUUUGAAAUAAUGAUAAAAUUAGUAAAUAUUUAAAUGUUAGAAUAAUUAAUAAAUUAAAUGUUAGUUUUAUUUAAGGAAUUCGGCAAAAUAAAUAUACUCACCUGUUUAUCAAAAACAUGUCUUUUUGAAUUUAAUUUUAAGUCUGAUCUGCUCUAUGAUUAUUAAUUAAAUGGCCGCAGUAUCUUGACUGUGCAAAGGUAGCAUAAUAAUUAGUCUUUUAAUUUGAGGCUGGUAUGAAUGAUUUGAUGAAGUAUAAACUGUCUUUUUUAAAAUUUUAAUUUAAUUUAAUUUUUAAGUUAAAAAGCUUAAAUUUUUUUAUAGGACGAGAAGACCCUAUAGAGUUUUAUAAUUAAUUUAAUUUGAAGAUUUAAUUUAUUUUUAAAUUUGUUUAAUUAUUUUAUUGGGGCGAUAGAAAAAUUUAAUAAACUUUUUUAUAAAUUUUACAUAAAUUAAUGAAUUUUUGAUCCUUAUUUUUAAGAUUAUUAGAUUUAAUUACCUUAGGGAUAACAGCGUUAUUUUUUUUAGAGUUCUUAUUUAUAAUAAAGAUUGCGACCUCGAUGUUGGAUUAAAAUUAAUUUUAGGUGAAGAAGCUUAAAAUUUUAGGUCUGUUCGACCUUUGAAAUUUUACAUGAUCUGAGUUCAAACCGGUGUAAGCCAGGUUGGUUUCUAUCCUUAAUAAAUUAUGAAUUUUUAGUACGAAAGGACCAAAAUUUAGAAAUAAUUUUUAAAUUAAUUGAUUUUUAUUAAUAAUUAAAAUAAUUAAA
rnacentral:rRNA from 1 species